CGCACAUUGCACCUCUAGGUAAUCCUUGAGGUAUAUUUGUUCGAGCGCCGUUUAAAAUAUUAAGACAUUGUCUUUUGUUGAAAUUUACUACGUAAUUGUAGUUUUUCUAAAUAUUUUGGCGUUGUUUUUAAUAGUGUUCAAAAACGCAGUGAAAAUGUGUUUAUAUGAACUAUUAAAGAACUGCCUUGUUUGUUUAUUAUACACAUGGCCUCGGAUCAAAUAGGGAUACCCGCUGAACUUAA
rnacentral:misc_RNA from 1 species